GUAAUCACAGCUAUUCGGGAGGCUGAGAUAGGAAAAUUGCUUGAACCCGGGAGGUGGAGGUUGCAGUGAGCCAAGAUCGUGGCCACUGCACUCUAGCCUGGUCAACAGAGCAAGACUCCAUCUCAAAAAAAAAAAAAAAAUCUCCUCUCCAGUAUUAGUCAUUUCUUGUUUCUGGCUCUGAGAGAAGCAACAUAUAACAUACCUGUUAAAAUUCAUAAGACAUUUGUGGGUAGUUAUUAAUCUUUUACCAAUUGUAAAUGUGGAUACUUAUCUUACCGUUUUUGCUUUUAGGUCUGGUAACAGUGAACACCAUCAAGCACAUCUACGGUAAUUACUAUGUGCUGGACCCUCUUCUAAAUGCUUCGAGUAUUUUAAUUAAUUUAAUCUUCACAGCAAAACAGCUUUUCUCUCAUGAGAAUGGAGUGAAGAGAUUCUGUCCAAGAUGGCCGAAUAGGAACAGCUCCAGUCUACAUCUCCCAGCGUGAGCGACGCAGAAGAUGGGUGAUUUCUGCAUUUCCAACUGAGGUACCGGGUUCAUCUCACUGGGGCUCGUUAGACAGUGGGCACAGGACAGUGGGUGCAGCCCACCGACCAUGAGCUGAAGCAGGGCGAGUCAUCGCCUCACCGGGGAAGCACAAGGGGUCAGAGAAUUCCCUGUACAUGAAAGUUACCUCCACCAAUACAACACAACUAUUUUACUCAAAAUAUUCAUGGUUUUCUAAAUGAUCAGAGGUUUCAAAAACUGUAUUUGUGAAUAUAUCUAUUAGCGGUAUAUUAAAAAGGAUCAUGACCAAUGCUAGAUAGACAUUGGAAAGUUUGUUAUCCAAUGAAGUAAAUUGUUCUUAGAGUUAUAAGUAAAACCUACCACCAGAAAAGCUAAAUAAAAU
rnacentral:lncRNA from 1 species